rnacentral:rRNA from 1 species
AACGCGAAGAACCUUACCUACGUUGAACUACGCAGGAAAAGCCGUGGAGACACGGUGUCCGAAAGGGCCUGCGAUAGGUGGUGCAUGGCUGUCGUCAGCUCGUGUCGUGAGAUGUUGGGUUAAGUCCCGCAACGAGCGCAACCCUUGUCCUAUGUUGCCAGCGGGUAAUGCCGGGGACUCGUAGGAGACUGCCGGGGUCAACUCGGAGGAAGGUGGGGAUGACGUCAAGUCUGCAUGCCCCUUACGCGUAGGGCUGCUAACAUGCUACAAUGGCCGGUACAAAGGGCUGCUAAUCCGCGAGGAGGAGCGAAUCCCAAAAAGCCGGUCUCAGUUCGGAUUGGAGUCUGCAACUCGACUCCAUGAAGUCGGAGUCGCUAGUAAUCCCGGAUCAGCUACGCCGGGGUGAAUACGUUCCCGGGCCUUGUACACACCGUAGUAC